rnacentral:lncRNA from 1 species
GCCUCUAUCAUCAUGACCACAGUCACGAUACUGAAGAUUAUUUGCAGCUCCGAGAUGAGAUAGAGAGGCUCGUUAGGCAGGGGAGAUUGAACUAUUUCGUUCGAAGGGCAGUACCUCAAUGUCGACCUUCAAGAGCUUAGCAACCACCUUCUUUGCCUCAGCAAUCGUUCCCUCUGCCUCAGCCAUAGUUGGUACCAGUGCAGAAAGGAGACAAGAAGCAGGGAGACAGGCGAU